GAUUAUCGCAGUCUUCCUCUCGAGCCUAAUCAUGCCCUGCUUCUCGUGUCCUCCUGCUUGUGCCUCCAGUCUGCCUUCAUGUCUUUUGUAAGUUUGUUUGUCACUUUGUUUCAGUUGUUUUGUAUUUUAUAGUUCUAGUAUUUUCCAUUGCAUUUUUCUGAGGUGAUUUUCAGUUUGCCUUUUGUUUUCUUUUGAACUUUCUAGUUGACUUUAUAUUCCUUUGUUACUUGCCCCACAUGGUAUAUUGGAGUUGUACUUUUAGUGUCAGAGGUUGCUUGAGUUUUUCUGUAAUUUUUCCUGACACUUGUUUUUCUUCGUUUUCAGUAGCUGUCCAUGAUUCCCGAGCCUUUUUACCCUGUGUGGUGAUUUUAUGUUUUUUGUUGUUGUUGUUGUUGUUGUUGUUGUUGUUGUUGUUGAUAUUUUUGUUAAUAAACUUUUGGUGAUUUUGUCUCCGCUA